GUGAGGACGACGUUUGUCACUUACCUGUCCUGAGUCUGGGCGCCAAGGAGGCGUGUAAUAGGUCUCCACCCCAGCUGAAUAGUAAAGUGCUGACAACUGAGACACCAGUCAUCCGAGGGGGCAGAUCCCGGGGCUGCAGCCUUCAGGCUUAGGAGACGAGAGCUCUGGCAGGGAGUGGGGAGGGCCAUUCAGGUAGGUGGGACAGCCCAGGUGAAGGUGUUGCUUGGAGACAGGCACAGGAGCUGUGGGAGAUGAGGCUGGAUUGGAGGGGCCCGCCCAGGUAGGGAGGCUUUGAGGGCCUCUCAGUGGCCAAGGACAGUGGCCGCCCAUCCUGCCCCCUGAUGUCUGGAAGCCUGGGGCUCCCGGGGCUGACUGGGCCCUCUGUGUUGGCCCAUGGCCCAUGGCCCAUGGCAGGAGCGCAUCUUCAUGGAGAAUGUGGGGGCCGUGAAGGAGCUCUGCAAGCUGACAGACAACCUGGAGACGCGCAUUGAUGAGCUGGAGCGCUGGAGCCACAAGCUGGCCAAGCUGCGGCGGCUCGACAGCCUCAAGUCCACCGGCAGCUCGGGCGCCUUCAGGUAGGGGUGCGGGGUGAGGGAAGGUGAGACCCUUCUUCCCAGGGACACCCCUGAUCCUGGCCCUCUUGCUGCAGCCAUGCAGGGAGCCAGUUCAGCCGGGCAGGCAGUGUCCCUCACAAGAAGAGGCCCCCCAAGGUGGCCAGCAAGUCAUCGUCCGUGGUUCCGGACCAGGCCUGCAUCAGCCAGCGCUUCCUGCAGGGAACCAUCAUCGCCCUGGUGGUGGUCAUGGCCUUCAGCGUGGUGUCCAUGUCCACACUGUACGUGCUGAGCCUGCGCACAGAGGAGGACCUGGUAGACACUGAUGGCUCUUUUGCCGUGUCCACUUCCUGUCUCCUGGCCCUGCUCCGGCCCCAGCCCCCUGGGGGGAGUAAGGCCUUGUGCCCAUGGUCCAGCCAGAGCUUUGGGACCACGCAGCUCCGACAGUCCCCCGUGACCACUGGGCUACCAGGCAUACAGCCCUCUUUGCUGCUGG
rnacentral:sRNA from 1 species